rfam:Triticum aestivum genome assembly, contig: Triticum_aestivum_CS42_TGACv1_scaffold_221041_3B
AUUCUACUCCCUCUGUUGCACAAUACAUGCCUUCUAUUUGUCAAAAUAUAUAUGUAUCUAGACAUGUUUUAGUAUAUAGGUACAUCCAUUUUUGGACAAAUGGAAGUCAAGUAUUUAGGAACGGAGGGAGUACACA